GUAGACAAUCUUUUCUGAAAAGGUUUGAAUGUUUCGAAUUUCAAGUAGUUUUAGUUAAUCUGGGUGGUUGCUAAAAUGUUGCUAUGCAGUUGCUACUUGAUGGGGUGUUCUGGGUGGUUGCUAAGUUGUUUUUUUAUGCAUUGCUACAUGUUAAGGUGUUCUGGGUGGUUGCUAAGUUAUUGUUAUGCAGUUGCUUCUUGUUAGGGUGGUCACUAAGAUGUUGCUAUGCAUUGUUACAUAGCAUUAUUACAUGGGUGUUCUGUGUGGUUGCUAAGGUGUUAGGGUGUUCCAGUUGGUUGAUAAGGAGUUGCUAUGAUGUUGCUAGGGUGUUCUGGAUUGUUGUUUGUCAGUUGGUAGACUGUUGUAUUUAGUAGUUGCUUUGAUGUUCUGGGUGAUUGCUAAGGUUUUUGUUAUGCAUUGCUAAAUGUUAAGGUGUUCUGGGUGGUUGCUAGGGUGUUCUGGGUGAUUGCUAAGUAGUUGCUAGCAUGUUGUAUAUGGUUGCUAGGGUGCUGUUAUAUGGUUUCUAAGUUGUUUUGGAUAGUAGCACCUUGAUCUGAUCACACCCUUAAAAAUUGUAUUAUCAUGACAUAUUCUGAUUAUUUCACUGGCAUUUAACUUAAGCAGCAUUCAGUAAAAGUAAAUCAAUUCAUAUGCAAGAUUUAAAUCUACAUUUAUCCGCAAAACUAUUUUUAAGCUUUACAUUUUUUUUUUAUAAAAACAUUUUUUCAGGAAUAUGAUUUGAUGAUUUCAGUAUUGAACACUGUCCUCUGUGUGGCACUGUUUGCUGAUGAUAUACAACUGAACAUUAUCUUCUCGUCUCUACUUCCUCAUUAUGUGACUCCAUGACCACGUGUUCAUGUAUUCAUCACAGGUCACAGAUUUCAGAUCGAGAUAAGUCGGAUCAAUAAAGGCUAUUUUUGGACUUUUU